rnacentral:rRNA from 1 species
UACGUAGGGGGCAAGCGUUGUCCGGAAUCAUUGGGCGUAAAGAGCGCGUAGGCGGUCCGGUAAGUCCGCUCUGAAAGCCCGGGGCUCAACCCCGGGAGGCGGGCGGAUACUGUCGGGCUAGAGUCCGGAAGAGGCGAGUGGAAUUCCUGGUGUAGCGGUGAAAUGCGCAGAUAUCGGGAGGAACACCGGUGGCGAAGGCGGUUCUCUGGGCCUUACCUGACGCUGAGGAGCGAAAGCGUGGGAGCGAACAGGA